GACAGAGGGGGCAAGCGUUGCUCGGAAUUACUGGGCGUAAAGGGCGCGUAGGCGGGAUGGCAAGUCGGUCGUGAAAUCCUUCGGCUCAACCGAAGAACGUCGAUCGAUACUGCUGUUCUAGAGGAUUGCAGAGGAGACUGGAAUUCCCGGUGUAGCGGUGAAAUGCGCAGAUAUCAGGAGAAACACCGGUGGCGAAGGCGGGUCUCUGGGCAGUAACUGACGCUGAGGAGCGAAAGCGUGGGGAGCGAACAGG
rnacentral:rRNA from 1 species